GAUGAACGCUGGCGGCGUGCCUAAUACAUGCGAGUCGAGCGAACAGAUGAGGAGCUUGCUCCUCUGACGUUAGCGGCGGACGGGUGAGUAACACGUGGAUAACCUACCUAUAAGACUGGGAUAACUACGGGAAACCGGAGCUAAUACCGGAUAAUAUAUUGAACCGCAUGGUUCAAUAGUGAAAGACGGUUUUGCUGUCACUUAUAGAUGGAUCCGCGCCGCAUUAGCUAGUUGGUAAGGUAACGGCUUACCAAGGCAACGAUGCGUAGCCGACCUGAGAGGGUGAUCGGCCACACUGGAACUGAGACACGGUCCAGACUCCUACGGGAGGCAGCAGUAGGGAAUCUUCCGCAAUGGGCGAAAGCCUGACGGAGCAACGCCGCGUGAGUGAUGAAGGUCUUCGGAUCGUAAAACUCUGUUAUUAGGGAAGAACAAAUGUGUAAGUAACUAUGCACGUCUUGACGGUACCUAAUCAGAAAGCCACGGCUAACUACGUG
rnacentral:rRNA from 1 species